GGAGCCUAUGAUAGCAUGUGUGCCUGUGUCACAUAUUCUCCGAACGACGUUCUGCUAGAGCGUGUUUAAAUGUACUGCGCGUAAUGGAAUUCUAGCCGAGUAGGUCAUGUUACACUUCAGCGACCGAAACGGAGAAAAACGCCAAGUGCUCUUGCGAGCUCGCGCUUGAAGCGCUGCAGCACGCGAUGGAGCUCCGCAGGAUUAUCAGGACAGGUAAAGGCCCUCCAUGCACGCGCCAUCGCUGCAUUUUUAACCUGGUCGGCUGAAACGAGUGUAGGAGAGCUUUAGGCACAGAGGUCAAGAUCUCCGCACGACGACACCGCCUCAAGUUCUUCGUCAGGUGCGACUGCGGACGCUGUCAAGUGCUUCCCAUCUUGAGCGAGCUUCAGUGCCUGUGUGCAGCGAGAUGGGCCCUUUUCUGCUACCCAUACAGAAAGCUUUAGAGGACACAAGAACGAGAAUGGGAAGAACUUGGCACUGUGGCCUGGUGAGUCUCAGCGCCCGUCCCUGCAGAGCUCCAAGCUGCUGUCACCAGGUGCUGCCAGAAGUCCUUUCUGGUGCUCAUUCCAGACUCUACGAAAAAUUUGGACCUUCUCCUGAGUUUUGAUCCACUCCAUGUGCUACGUGUGCAGUUAUGUGCACAUGGUUUAUGUCUGAUAACAAUCAGAAUGCAAAAAAUAGUUGCAAUUACAAGUAUUGUGCACUCUUUUAAUAGACAUUAAGGAGAAACCACCCACAUGUAAGCUCUGCCUAGACACACAGAGCAACAUAAACACUGACGUACAGCACAUGCUAACACAAGACCUUGGCUAAAAAUUGAAAGUAACUUUUGUGAAUGGUAUUUUUCUUUUGUGUUUAAUUCAGGAAGAUAUGCGAAAAUGAGGCACAGGUUGCAACAUCAUUCCAAUUUCCAGGUUACGUGACGGAUUUUGAAGACAUUCAGCCCUAAAUCUCUUGUUGGUGGACGCAAAAGGAACAGAUUAUGUUAAAAAAUGUUGAGUUGGUGUAGCAAAGCUUUGCAGACAUUAGCAGCAUAAAAGGAAUGCAAGUAAAUGAAAAUACAUUUAAAUUCUCGUAAUCGCAAUGGAAUCUUUGGUACUGCAUUUGAGCCACAAAAUUCAGAAAUUCACCUUCCACUUUUUCUCCUUCUAAGCAACUUUUUCCUGCAAUGCAUAAGCCAAGUAUUUUACAAAAAUGCCAUCUACAAGUACAGCACAAUGCAGCACUUUUCCUUACAGUUCCAUUAAUGAGUUGACUGAACUUAGAUGCUACAAUUUCUGCAGCUGCAUGCAUUCUUUGCUAGCGUAGAUGUAAGAUGAACUUCCAGGCUGCUUAGAAUAAUGCCAGUGUCUGUUCUUGGAACCAUUUUCUUCUCAUGCCAGGCAUAUUUUCGGUAUUUAUGUUCUUUGUUGGCUUUCUUACAAU